CCACCACUAAGCCAGUGGUGAACUCCACAUCCGCAUCCUUUGCUGAGGAUACGGUUAACGGAGCGAAAGCGACGUUCAACCGCAAAACAAGCAGAGGGGGCUUAGUGGUGGGGUGACUGCGUACCUUUUGUAUAAUGGGUCAGCGACUUAUAUUCUGUAGCAAGGUUAACCGAAUAGGGGAGCCGGAGGGAAACCGAGUCUUAAUUGGGCGUUAAGUUGCAGGGUAUAGACCCGAAACCCGGUGAUCUAGCCAUGGGCAGGUUGAAGGUUGGGUAACACUAACUGGAGGACCGAACCGACUAAUGUUGAAAAAUUAGCGGAUGACCUGUGGCUGGGGGUGAAAGGCCAAUCAAACCGGGAGAUAGCUGGUUCUCCCCGAAAGCUAUUUAGGUAGCGCCUCGUGAAUUCAUCUCCGGGGGUAGAGCACUGUUUCGGCUAGGGGGCCAUCCCGGCUUACCAACCCGAUGCAAACUGCGAAUACCGGAGAAUGUUAUCACGGGAGACACACGGCGGGUGCUAACGUCCGUCGUGAAGAGGGAAACAACCCAGACCGCCAGCUAAGGUCCCAAAGUCAUGGUUAAGUGGGAAACGAUGUGGGAAGGCCCAGACAGCCAGGAUGUUGGCUUAGAAGCAGCCAUCAUUUAAAGAAAGCGUAAUAGCUCACUGGUCGAGUCGGCCUGCGCGGAAGAUGUAACGGGGCUAAACCAUGCACCGAAGCUGCGGCAGCGAACGUAUCACCCAAGACAACUUUACGGAGUUGACGAUUGACGGAGCGAAGCGACGUCAAAGCGUUCAUUAAAGUCGAGUUGGCUUAGGGAUACGUUCGUUGGGUAGGGGAGCGUUCUGUAAGCCUGUGAAGGUGUGUCGUGAGGCAUGCUGGAGGUAUCAGAAGUGCGAAUGCUGACAUAAGUAACGAUAAAGCGGGUGAAAAGCCCGCUCGCCGGAAGACCAAGGGUUCCUGUCCAACGUUAAUCGGGGCAGGGUGAGUCGACCCCUAAGGCGAGGCCGAAAGGCGUAGUCGAUGGGAAACGGGUUAAUAUUCCCGUACUUGGUGUUACUGCGAAGGGGGGACGGAGAAGGCUAUGUUGGCCGGGCGACGGUUGUCCCGGUUUAAGCGUGUAGGUGUGUGUUCCAGGUAAAUCCGGUUCACUUUAACACUGAGGCGUGACGACGAGGCACUACGGUGCUGAAGCAACAAAUGCCCUGCUUCCAGGAAAAGCCUCUAAGCAUCAGGUAACAUCAAAUCGUACCCCAAACCGACACAGGUGGUCAGGUAGAGAAUACCAAGGCGCUUGAGAGAACUCGGGUGAAGGAACUAGGCAAAAUGGUGCCGUAACUUCGGGAGAAGGCACGCUGACACGUAGGUGAAGUGAUUUACUCAUGGAGCUGAAGUCAGUCGAAGAUACCAGCUGGCUGCAACUGUUUAUUAAAAACACAGCACUGUGCAAACACGAAAGUGGACGUAUACGGUGUGACGCCUGCCCGGUGCCGGAAGGUUAAUUGAUGGGGUCAGCGCAAGCGAAGCUCCUGAUCGAAGCCCCGGUAAACGGCGGCCGUAACUAUAACGGUCCUAAGGUAGCGAAAUUCCUUGUCGGGUAAGUUCCGACCUGCACGAAUGGCGUAAUGAUGGCCAGGCUGUCUCCACCCGAGACUCAGUGAAAUUGAACUCGCUGUGAAGAUGCAGUGUACCCGCGGCAAGACGGAAAGACCCCGUGAACCUUUACUAUAGCUUGACACUGAACAUUGAGCCUUGAUGUGUAGGAUAGGUGGGAGGCUUUGAAGUGUGGACGCCAGUCUGCAUGGAGCCGACCUUGAAAUACCACCCUUUAAUGUUUGAUGUUCUAACGUGGACCCGUAAUCCGGGUUGCGGACAGUGUCUGGUGGGUAGUUUGACUGGGGCGGUCUCCUCCUAAAGAGUAACGGAGGAGCACGAAGGUUGGCUAAUCCUGGUCGGACAUCAGGAGGUUAGUGCAAUGGCAUAAGCCAGCUUGACUGCGAGCGUGACGGCGCGAGCAGGUGCGAAAGCAGGUCAUAGUGAUCCGGUGGUUCUGAAUGGAAGGGCCAUCGCUCAACGGAUAAAAGGUACUCCGGGGAUAACAGGCUGAUACCGCCCAAGAGUUCAUAUCGACGGCGGUGUUUGGCACCUCGAUGUCGGCUCAUCACAUCCUGGGGCUGAAGUAGGUCCCAAGGGUAUGGCUGUUCGCCAUUUAAAGUGGUACGCGAGCUGGGUUUAGAACGUCGUGAGACAGUUCGGUCCCUAUCUGCCGUGGGCGCUGGAGAACUGAGGGGGGCUGCUCCUAGUACGAGAGGACCGGAGUGGACGCAUCACUGGUGUUCGGGUUGUCAUGCCAAUGGCACUGCCCGGUAGCUAAAUGCGGAAGAGAUAAGUGCUGAAAGCAUCUAAGCACGAAACUUGCCCCGAGAUGAGUUCUCCCUGAGACUUAGAGUCUCCUGAAGGAACGUUGAAGACGACGACGUUGAUAGGCCGGGUGUGUAAGCGCAGCGAUGCGUUGAGCUAACCGGUACUAAUGAACCGUGAGGCUUAACCUUACA
rnacentral:rRNA from 1 species